AUGGUGGUUUACACUCCAGAAAAAGGGAAAACUUGGUUUGGGCAACCACCUGGAAGAGGCAGUCACCUCAGGCUGGAUUGCUGCUCUUGGGAGGCAGUGAUUUGCAGCAGGCUCUUAACUCUUGAAACUCUUCCGGGAAGAGGAGGUGGUAGAGACAAACUUGACACUGGAGCUGCCACCUCCUCCAAGACCACCGCCAAGACCACCGCCCAGACCGCCACCGAGGCCACCACCAAAGCCACUGCCUCCACCAAAACCACUGCCGCCGCCGUAGGCAGAGGACAUGCUGUUUGUGAUGACAGCUGCAGAGAAAGGAGGGAGAAGUUGGUGAGACCAGUGUACUAGAUUGAUCUUAUGUGCCCAAGUUAAUGUCUGCUCAAAGGUACUUACAGAUGUUGACUGGUCCAACUCCUUCUCCACUCAGUCUAAAAGGGGAAAAAAUUAAAGCAAGAGUUAAAAACUCCUCAAAAGACAGUACUAGCCAUGUUUUGAGCUUGUUCUAUAAGCAAGGGGCCUGUAUGCCCCAGAGCUGCUUAAAUUAGAGAAAGAGCCCUCUCCUCUCGAGUGACUUCCCAAUGAAGACAAGUGUCAACCUGUUUGACCUAAAGACAGG
rnacentral:lncRNA from 12 species